rnacentral:rRNA from 1 species
UAGGUGAACCUGCGGAAGGAUCAUUAAUGAUUGGCCUAACGGCCUUAUCAACAUAAUCCCUCACCUCUGUGAACCGUUGACCUCCGGGUAUACAUAACAAACAUCAGUGUAAAGAACGUCUUUAUAUUUUAACAAAAUAAAACUUUCAACAACGGAUCUCUUGGCUCUCGCAUCGAUGAAGAACGCAGCGAAAUGCGAUAAGUAAUGUGAAUUGCAGAAUUCAGUGAAUCAUCGAAUCUUUGAACGCACCUUGCGCCUUUUGGUAUUCCGAAAGGCAUGCCUGUUUGAGUGUCAUGAAAUCUCAAUCCCCCCGGGUUUUCUGAACCCGAGGUGGACUUGGACAUGGGUGUCUGCCGUCUCGUACGGCUCGCCUUAAAUGACUCAAUGGGAUCUUCAGCAUCCGUGGCAGACGUAAUAAGUUUCGUCUCGUCCCUUGCUGUGAGGACCGCUCAUAACCUGCCAUCGCGCACCACUUUUGACUCUGACCUCAAAUCAGGUAGGACUACCCGCUGAACUUAAGCAUAUCAAUAA